AUGGUGCUGCCCAGGCUACUGAAGCUGGUCAUGGCGUCCAUGUGGCUGAGAUCCAGUUUUUCCCAGAAGGUGACUCAGGCCCAGCCUGCCAUGCGGGUACAGGAGAAGGAGGCUGUGACCCUGCUCUGCUCCUAUGACACCAGUUUUGCAAACUACAAUCUCCUCUGGUACAAGCAGCCCAGCAGUGGGGAGAUGGUCUUCCUCAUCCUUCAGAACUCUUACAGCCAGAAGAAUGCCGCAGAAGGCCGUUACUCAGUGAAUUUCCAGAAGGCAAGCAAAUACAUCCAGCUUGUCAUCUCAGACUCACAGCUGGGGGACUCAGCCGUGUAUUUCUGUGCUCUGAGAGCCACGGUGAGAGAACUGUUGGAAGCAGUCAUACAAAAACCCAAGGGUCUGCCUGAGAUACCCACCUGCUGUAGGAACCAAGCCAGAAAAUUACCACCCCAGACAGGAAGUGGCAGGGCUGUGUCAGCUCAUGUCUGGGGUUGGAGGGAAAACACUCACUCUGAGGAACCCCUCUCUAGGUUCAUAGACCACAUCAGAGUUCUCACUAAUCAAAGCCAGCCAUAUUCCUGA